GACGAACGCUGGCGGCGUGCUUAACACAUGCAAGUCGAACGGAAAGGCCCUGCUUUUGUGGGGUGCUCGAGUGGCGAACGGGUGAGUAACACGUGAGUAACCUGCCCUUGACUUUGGGAUAACUUCAGGAAACUGGGGCUAAUACCGGAUAGGAGCUCCUGCUGCAUGGUGGGGGUUGGAAGGUUUCGGCGGUUGGGGAUGGACUCGCGGCUUAUCAGCUUGUUGGUGGGGUAGUGGCUUACCAAGGCUUUGACGGGUAGCCGGCCUGAGAGGGUGACCGGCCACAUUGGGACUGAGAUGCGGCCCAGACUCCUACGGGAGGCAGCAGUGGGGAAUAUUGCACAAUGGGCGGAAGCCUGAUGCAGCAACGCCGCGUGCGGGAUGACGGCCUUCGGGUUGUAAACCGCUUUCGCCUGUGACGAAGCGUGAGUGACGGUAAUGGGUAAAGAAGCACCGGCUAACUACGUG
rnacentral:rRNA from 1 species